GCUAAAUAUUCUUAAGAUCAAAGUGUAUUUUAGCAAAUCAAAGAAAAUCCUCUCACCUCUCUCUCACCUCACUUUCGCCCCCCUCUCUCUCUCUCUCUCCCUCACCUCUCACUUUCCUCCAUUGAUCUCCAUUGGAGAGACCUUCCAAGCUUUCCUAAAAUCACAUAUGUGCAAAAAUCCUUCACUAAAUCAAGCCCUAAACACUUUCUAUACUUGAUUCAAAGAGAUUAGUAGAGUUUUGAGCUUGAAGUUUAGAGAGAAGAAAUUCUACUUUUCUUAAAGUUCUUGAGAUAAGCAAGGAGCUAGAAUGGUCUGGUGCUGGUGGGGGAUUGUUUUGUUCAAUUGUUAGGUCCGGAGGGUCGCGAAUAGGUGUAUGGGGGGGGAAUACACAUAUAGGCUAUUUUUCACAAAUCAGAGGGAUCUCAAGAUAGAGAUCAAAACAAAACAUUACACACAAACUAAGACGCCUGUUUACUGAAAAGAGUUUUGACCAAACAGGGUUGACGACUGAUACUGAAAUACUCUUCAGUAAUGAGUUAUCAGUUAAGUCACUGGAACUUAAUAGAUGCACGUUAAGGCUUCAGUCGAGUUUGCGAAAGCAGAGAUGUAAUAAAUCUGCCUGACUAUCAGAUGAUAGAUCAGUCAGACUGAUAACAUACGCAGCGGAAAUACUUUUGUUUUGUAAUAACCUUUGUUGAGCACGUUGCUAGUCUUAGGUUUCUCUUUGUAUUUAAUCAGUAUUCAGUUCAUCAAAAAUAAGAAUACAAGUAGCAAAGUAAAACUGAAAGCUAUAAAUAAUACAAAGAUUUUUACGUGGUUCGGAAAACACUUCCUACAUCCACGGUCGGUUGAUUAGACCAACAACUUUACUCUGCAAGUGCUUACGGGUGCACUGCAAACCGAAUCUGUGUGCUUAGCCGGGUGCACACAACCGAAUCAACUGAAGAUCCAAUCUUCAGUACCAACACUUCACUCGCGUUGGAUUUCUCACUCCUAGCACGAACUGACACUAGGAUCUCACAGAGUCAGAGUACCUUCCUGAACUUCUUUUCAACUCAAACACUCGAUUCUAUCGGUCGAAGGGAGGUUUGAAAUCUUGCCAACUAAACUUCAAAGAACAAGUUCUUUGGAGUUAGUUUUGACCUAGGCUCUGGAUAAACAGGGGUUUGCCUAAGGUCUAAGAGAAUGUAUGUAAUCAGCAGUGACCGAUUUUUGGCUUUGGUAUUCUCUUCUUCGAUUCAAGCUUUGGGGAGGUUAAGCUUUGGCUGAGAAACAAUUUUGGCAUAGUUUCAGCUUAUGUUGUUGAAUCGGUGAAGAUUGAAGUGAUCCUCAAGCGCUAUUUAUAGGAGAGGUCUUAAAUAGAUCCAUUGGUGGAGAACGUCUUCAAGAUUUCUUCCGUUGGAGAGCUUUUUGAAUUUGGGCUGAGGCUUCAAUCUUCGAGGUUCCUUGUUUGGUGAGAACGGCUAUGUUGAACAGCAGGAGAUGCGAUGUCUCUGAUAAAGUAGCUACCAAAUAGGAAUGACCUCUGCAGAGAAGGAUGAUCCUGAGAUCUCUGCAUUUAAUGCGGCUGUACUUUUGGAGUACGUGACUUCUUUUGAACGUUGGAGGUUCAAUUCCGAGGAAGAAUGUUUAACUGAUACUUGACUUUAGUAUCAGUCUGCUGAAUCCACGUGGCACGCAUUAAGUAAUCAGUUCAAGACUGAUUCUUCAACUGAUACUUCAGUUGGCAACAUCAGUCUUCAGUCUUCAGUCAUUCGUCCUUCAGUCUUCAGUCUUCAGAACAGCUAACUAAACUAGAAAAGAACUCUAACGCUUGAGUUCGAACAGUUCUAGUCUAUUACAAUUAAGGUCUAUGGAUUUUGGUAUCAUCGAAACAAGGAUUAGGAUAUUACAUUAAGUUCCCAAUAGUUGUAUACUGAAAGCAAAACUUUAUGCUUGCAUACAUUGAUUCCUAAGUUCACUA